rnacentral:rRNA from 1 species
AACGAACGCUGGCGGCAGGCUUAACACAUGCAAGUCGAGCGCCCCGCAAGGGGAGCGGCAGACGGGUGAGUAACGCGUGGGGAUCUGCCUAGUGGUACGGAACAACACGGGGAAACUCGUGCUAAUACCGUAUAAGUCCUUCGGGAGAAAGAUUUAUCGCCAUUAGAUGAACCCGCGUCUGAUUAGCUAGUUGGUGAGGUAACGGCUCACCAAGGCGACGAUCGGUAGCUGGUCUGAGAGGAUGAUCAGCCACACUGGGACUGAGACACGGCCCAGACUCCUACGGGAGGCAGCAGUGGGGAAUAUUGGACAAUGGGUGCAAGCCUGAUCCAGCCAUGCCGCGUGAGUGAUGAAGGCCUUAGGGUUGUAAAGCUCUUUCGCUAGGGAAGAUAGUGACGGUACCUAGAGAAGAAGCCCCGGCUAACUUCGUGCCAGCAGCCGCAGUAA